rnacentral:rRNA from 1 species
AGAUGAACGCUGGCGGCAUGCCUUACACAUGCAAGUCGAACGGCAGCACGGAGCUUGCUCUGGUGGCGAGUGGCGAACGGGUGAGUAAUAUAUCGGAACGUACCCAGGAGUGGGGGAUAACGUAGCGAAAGUUACGCUAAUACCGCAUACGAUCUACGGAUGAAAGUGGGGGAUCGCAAGACCUCAUGCUCGUGGAGCGGCCGAUAUCUGAUUAGCUAGUUGGUGGGGUAAAGGCCCACCAAGGCAUCGAUCAGUAGCUGGUCUGAGAGGACGACCAGCCACACUGGAACUGAGACACGGUCCAGACUCCUACGGGAGGCAGCAGUGGGGAAUUUUGGACAAUGGGGGCAACCCUGAUCCAGCAAUGCCGCGUGAGUGAAGAAGGCCUUCGGGUUGUAAAGCUCUUUUGUCAGGGAAGAAAAGGCUGCGGCUAAUAUCUGCGGCUCAUGACGGUACCUGAAGAAUAAGCACCGGCUAACUACGUGCCAGCAGCCGCGGUAAUACGUAGGGUGCAAGCGUUAAUCGGAAUUACUGGGCGUAAAGCGUGCGCAGGCGGUUUUGUAAGACUGUCGUGAAAUCCCCGGGCUCAACCUGGGAAUGGCGAUGGUGACUGCAAGGCUAGAGUUUGGCAGAGGGGGGUAGAAUUCCACGUGUAGCAGUGAAAUGCGUAGAUAUGUGGAGGAACACCGAUGGCGAAGGCAGCCCCCUGGGUCAAAACUGACGCUCAUGCACGAAAGCGUGGGGAGCAAACAGGAUUAGAUACCCUGGUAGUCCACGCCCUAAACGAUGUCUACUAGUUGUCGGGUCUUAAUUGACUUGGUAACGCAGCUAACGCGUGAAGUAGACCGCCUGGGGAGUACGGUCGCAAGAUUAAAACUCAAAGGAAUUGACGGGGACCCGCACAAGCGGUGGAUGAUGUGGAUUAAUUCGAUGCAACGCGAAAAACCUUACCUACCCUUGACAUGGAUGGAAUCUCCGAGAGAUUGGAGAGUGCCCGAAAGGGAACCAUUACACAGGUGC